rnacentral:rRNA from 1 species
CCCGAAUCCUGACACAGGGAGGUAGUGACAAGAAAUAACAAUACAGGGCUACUUCUAGUCUUGUAAUUGGAAUGAGUACAACUUACAUCUCUUCACGAGGAUCAAUUGGAGGGCAAGUCUGGUGCCAGCAGCCGCGGUAAUUCCAGCUCCAAUAGCGUAUAUUAAAGUUGUUGCAGUUAAAAAGCUCGUAGUCGGAUUUCGGGGCGGGCCGAGCGGUCUGCCGAUGGGUAUGCACUGUUCGGCGCGUCCUUCUUUGCGGAGACUAGUUCUACUCUUAACUGAGCGGGACUGGGAGACGGAUCGUUUACUUUGAAAAAAUCAGAGUGUUUCAAGCAGGCAGCUCGCUCUUGCAUGGAUUAGCAUGGGAUAAUGAAAUAGGACUCUGGUGCUAUUUUGUUGGUUUCGAACACCGGAGUAAUGAUUAACAGGGACAGUCAGGG